UGUUAGGAGAUGUGGCCUUGUUUGAGGAAG
rnacentral:piRNA from 1 species